rnacentral:rRNA from 1 species
UACAGAGGUCCCAAGCGUUGUUCGGAUUCAUUGGGCGUAAAGGGUGCGUAGGCGGCGCGGUAAGUCGGGUGUGAAAUGCCGGGGCUCAACCCCGGGACUGCGUCCGAUACUUCCGAGCUGGAGGUAGGUAGGGGAGAUCGGAAUUCCUGGUGUAGCGGUGAAAUGCGCAGAUAUCAGGAGGAACACCGGUGGCGAAGGCGGAUCUCUGGGCCUUACCUGACGCUGAGGCGCGAAAGCUAGGGGAGCGAACAGG